rnacentral:rRNA from 1 species
UACGAAGGGGCUAGCGUUGCUCGGAAUCACUUGGGCGUAAAGCGCACGUAGGCGGAUUGUUAAGUCAGGGGUGAAAUCCUGGAGCUCAACUCCAGAACUGCCUUUGAUACUGGCGAUCUUGAGUCCGGGAGAGGUGAGUGGAACUGCGAGUGUAGAGGUGAAAUUCGUAGAUAUUCGCAAGAACACCAGUGGCGAAGGCGGCUCACUGGCCCGGUACUGACGCUGAGGUGCGAA